ACUGUUUUGGCAGAUAAUUGUAAUAAAUUUAGAAUUUAUAUAUGUGAUGUAUAUCACAAACAGUA
rnacentral:tRNA from 1 species